CUCCCAGAAAGAAGACAAAUACCAACAUUAGGCAGAGGUCCUGGAGAGGCAGAGGCAGCGGGCUCUCACUAGGGAAGCUAUCCUGGAGCUUUGCAAGUCUUUUUUGAUGAAGAGCUGAAAUGCAGUUGUAUGCCUGUAACUAUGUAAAGGAAACAUUGUCUUGAAAAUUUUGUCUCAGGAAAACACCAGUAGUUAGGGAUUUAGUUGUCAGUAGAAGAAUGUUAUCAUUUAAUCAGUGCAAAACUACUUUUUCUUAACAAUUCUUUUUUAAAGUCAGCUCCCCUCCCCCAUACAGGCUUAGUUUUAGUGUUUGUAUCACUAAGAAAACAAAAGAUUCAUCUCAUUACAUAUUUCUGCAUUUGUGAUGGAAUUUGUCCCUGAAGCCCUCAUCCAGAUUCUCAGAAAAAAGUGGGUAUUCUAAAGUCUUGCAGAAGAACCCAUUUUUGAAGAUACCAUUAAAGACAUAUCUGUGAAAUCCCAGAGAAAAGAAUACUAAUUUAAUGGAACCACAAAAGGAAUACAGCUCCAAGAGAAAAGAAAUUCUCACAGUUUUAAAUACUUGAAUGUAACUGUGCAGUCACACUGAAUUUGUAGAAACGAACAGCUUCUGUGUUCACAUAUCUUGGAACAAAGCAACUGAUUUUUGUAAAGAAGUAUAUAUGGGCUUACAUUCCUUAAAAAAAUAAUAUUUAAGAAAGAAACAAAUCUUCUAUGGAGAUCAGUUUCUUCACUAGCGGACGUGUUCAUGAUGGGAUCAGAUUCUCUCCUGCUCUCCUGAUGUCAGGGUGCUCCUGCCUGCAUAUUUGGUGAAGAUCUGUGGUUUAUCAGGCGCUUUGCCCUUUCCCCUUUCCUCAUCAAUUUCUGUUCACUAGAUUAAAGUUAUUUAUACCUAUCAAGAACUGAAAUAAAUGCUUGUUUAGAUUACUAAAACA
rnacentral:lncRNA from 1 species